UGCCCUGUCGUCCAAGGGAUAGGACGGUCGGCUUCUACCCGACAAAUGAAUGUUCGAAUCAUUCCGGGGUAACCA
rnacentral:tRNA from 2 species